rnacentral:tRNA from 1 species
AGUUUAAAAAGAAAUUAUCUUAUUUUUGGUAUACAAGACCAAUGUUUUUGUUAAACUAUUAAAAC